AAGCAAUGUUGGUGGUUCAGAUCUGGUGAGAAAGAGAAGGGAACACAUCAGUGGAGAAAGACAUAUACGAUCGUGCACACUCAAGGCUGGAGAAAUUCCUCUGUUUCAGACUGGCGAAGUACACCCCCACAGCCUGAAGAAAUGAACUUCCAGGAGGAAUAAUGGUACUUCCCAGGCUCUGUCUCCCAGACCUUGGACUGCCAUAUUAGGACAGUGGCUCUGCCCAGUUCAGCUUUCCUGAAAGGGACAGAAGACAAA